UUUUGGAUCCCCGCGUUUCGGUGGCAUUAGUGAGAAAGAGAAAACGGGACGUAUACCAAGAAGAAGAAAGAGAAGAAGAAGUAGAAGAAGAAGAAGAAGAAAAAGAAGAAGAAGAAGAGGGGUGAAUCGUGGCAGUCGACACGCGCUCAACGAAUUUUUCAUCCAACGGAUAUCUUCUAAGGCUUUUUUCCCUCUCCAGACAAGAGAGACGUUCUAUGAGUGAUAAUAGUGCAACAUACGUAAGUCAACCUCUAGGUUUUACCCUUUAGCAAAGUGCAACGUAUUUCCGGGGCAACGAACGAGAACGGAGAGAACAUGUGGCAGAGUACUACGCCGAUACUACGAUAAUAGAAAAAAUUUCAUCGAUGGAAAUCGUAUUUAUGGGGAUUAUGUCAGUGCCCUUCGAGCGAGAGAGACGGCGGUGCGUGUGCGAAAGGAAGAAGACUAUACGUAGAGCGUGCCGUUCACCAAUACGACGAAUAGAGUGAAGAGAGGGGAAGACAGAGAGAAAGAGAGAGGGAGAGAGAGAAAGAGAAAGAGAACAACACAGGGCUGGGCUCCCGCCAGGGCAAAAGAGGGCACCAACCCAACCAGCCUACCAGUCAGUCAACCAGCCAGCCAGCCAGCCAGCCAGCCAGCCAGCCAGCCAGCCAGCCAGCCAACCAGCCAACCAACCAGCCAACCAUCCAGCCAGGCCAGCCAGUCAGCCACCCGACGAAAAGGCAGGUGAGCACCUGGUCUAAAAGUUCGGCACGAGCUACUACUUGCCUCUUGGUUACGAAGGGGUGCUCAACGGUCCUCCUGCUAGUACGCACACAAUCGUUUAUUCCGUCUCAAGAUGGGUGCCAAUAAAUACAAGAGACCGUACGACGCAUUUCACUUUUGCUAUCGACACGGCUUCGAGGGUUCAAAGGCAAGCUGCUUUCGAUUACAUUACUUUCUCUCUCUCUCUCUCUCUCUCUCUCUCUCUCUCUCUCUCUCUCUCGCCUUUCCUUCCUAACCUAUCUUUUUCUAAACAAUGGACUAACAGCCCUCCUUUCUUCGUUAUACUCAACAAUCCGAUAUAUUCCGCGAAUUAGUUUAACGUCAACGCUACGUAACGUUUCAAUCGACAUUUCAAUCCACCAUUUCGAUUAAUAUUUUAAUCGAUAAAUGAAUUGAGUAAUGAAACGGUUAAUUUUCUUGUAAUUAAAAAUUUUUUUAAUACAGAUAUUUAGAUAUAUUUUAUAAUUAUCGAUGUCGAAUAAUAACAUUAUAUAUCGUUCAUCCCUUUCGUUGCAAAUGAAAAGAAAAUAAUAAUAAUAAUAAUAAUAAUAAUAAUGAUAAUAAUAAUAAGAAUAAUAAAAGGGAAAGAAAACAACAUAUUGAAUGGUCGAAUUAGGAUCGAAUUUAAUGAUGCGUCUCGGGUCGAAUGAGAACCGUGAGGUACUUAAAGACGACGUUCGAGGAGUUCAAAGCCGUAGCAGACAUCCCCGGACUCCUCAAGGACGGGGAAAUCCCUGUCACCCCAUACCAUCCCAUUUCUUCCCUGAGAUACACGCCUCUCGUAGACCAAACCUGACGUUAUCUCGUCACAUUGUUAUUGCUAUUUCUCCUAUCAUCUCCGUUAAACAAAUUCGAUUUAUUUUAUUACAUACAUUUACGUUACAUACAUAAAAAAAAAAAAAAAAAAAAAAAAUACCGAUUUUUAUCUAAUAUUAUUACAAUUAUUGUGAAAUUAUUGUUUGAUUCGAAAUAACUAAUAAACGUCGCGAGCCGAUUAAAAACAAAAAAAUAGGUCCUAAAGUAGUAAUAAAAAAAAAAGUAAUAAUAAUAAUAACAGUUUCCCAUGUAAUUUUCGAUGUACAUUGUAUCGAACAAAGAGAAGUUUACACAUUUGUUAAAAAAACAAAAAAAAAAAAAAAGAAAAAAAGGAGAAAAAAGUUAACAAAUAAAAAAAAAAUGUUUGACUGAAAAAAGUGUGAUUAUUGAAAGGACUUACCUAAACGCAGAUCUGAAUUGUUCGUAUCACUUUCCAUACAUUCUUUUAACGAUAUCGUAGACUUAUCGAAAUCACGAAUCAUGCUUGAUACCGGCGAGACUAUUUCCAGCGACGUAUCCUGAACCUUUUGCGGAGAAUUCUCUUCGAUCUCGGUGAUUUUCAUUAACGGAACGAUUCUACGCACCUGUGACAUUGUUCUUCACCUAUGUGUCUCGUUAUCUGUGGAUAAAAAAAAAAGAAUGAAUCAUUUUAUCAUAUGAAUUACCAAAAACGUAUAAAAUAACAAAAGAACAAAAAAAAAAAAAAAUCUCUAUUAAAUUAAAUAACGUUGAACAAAUGAUAUUGAAAAUUAUGUGGGUGAUUAAAUGUCGGUGAAAAAAAAAAAACGAGAAAAAAGAUCAACAACAAAUAUUAUUCAUAUAACUAUUCUUAUAAUUAUUCCAUUUUUUGUUUUUUUGUUUUUCAUGUAACUUCUCGUAUACCUAAUAAACAAAUCAAUAAUAUAUAAUAUAUAUAUACAAUCGAUUAUAAUAUACAAUAUUUCGUUUACAUUUCUAUCGAAAUACUAUUAUUAUAUUUUAAUAAAUGUUCAAAUACUUAAUUAAAUCGAGCAUUAAAGGAACAUUGCCAUGAAAGUUUCUUUCAAUAACGAAAAAACGAAUGCGAAUCUUUGAAAAUGCAGGGGAACGAACCGCUCGAUUGAUUCGACGAAGGCCUAUAAUAGUGUUAUACAUAUGUAUAAGAUAGAGAGAAGUAUCAGCUGAUUAAUCGCAAUAGCAAACACGUCGCCGCCGGAGAGAUAUGCCUUUCUCAAUGUCAAAAGGGACAGACGAUUGCAAACUGUUUCUAAGCAAUACGACUUACUGUAUUUUUUACAAAGUAAUAGUAACUGUCCAAUCCCGAUAAUUCCUUAGCGAAUUAUACGAUCGUGUACGAUCUUACGACCCGACGAUAUUAAUAUAUCACGUUAAUAACGAGUACGAGCCACGUUAAUAAAUCUAUUCGAUUAAUGAUGUACAAUUUAUUUAAUUAAAUUAAUUAAAAAAUGUACAUAAUGAUUUAAUGGAAUCGAUAAUACAUCCAUAAUGAUAUACAAUAAUUACACAGUUUCGAUUUCUUUCGACAAGCAUGACAUACAACAACAACAAAGAAAAAGAAAAAGAAGAAGAAGAAGAAGAGAAGGAGGAGGAAGCAAUAUGAUCGUUUGAGAACGGGAUCCACGAGAAACAAGAGAUAAAAAAAAAAAAAAAAAAAAAAAAAAAAACAAAGUGGUCUGUCGAACGAUCGAUCGAUCAGAAGGGAGAAAAAAAAUGGCGAACGAGAUUUCACGAACGUUACCGAUCUCUCCCUAUCUUUCUCCCUCUCUCUCUCUCUCUCUCUCUCUCGUUCGCGACAAACGACAAUGACAAUUACGAUUAAUGGAUUCAAUGAUGAUAAGGAAUUCGUGAUCGUGAUUAUUAUCGUAGAUCGCACGCGACGAUCCUCACUCGAUCGCACCUCGACAUAAACUGACCGACGAACGUCCGUUCUCGUUCUGUUCUCUUCUUAUGAAAGAAGGAAGGUCUCUAGUACCACAGUGUGAGCGCAUAUUUGCGAUAAACAAAGCACCAACGACGACGACGACGACGACGACGACAACGACGACGAUGACGACCUCGAGACAGUAGAGAGAGAGAGAGAGAGAGAGAGAGGGAAAGAGAGAAGAGAGAAAAGAAAAAAAAGAGAUAGAAGAAAAAAGAGAAAAAAGAAAAAAGAAAAAGGGAAGAAGCGAGAGAGGACACAUCGAGGAAGAUGGAAGUAGGAAGGGAGGAGGAGGAGGAUGAGUAGGGGGGGCGUAGGAAGACGGAUAAGCGCGAGAGCUUAUAUAUGUCGUGCGUGUGUGUGUUUGGGUGACAGAGAGAGAGAGAGAGAGAGAGAGAGACGAGGACCGAAUGUCGCCGUCUGGUGUAUUAUGGGGGGUCCAGACCCUUCGUAACAGUCACUACUUUCGUGUGUGGAUACUAUAUAUCUAUAUAUACAUAUAUAUACAGAUAGAUAUGUUCUGUAUAUAACAGAGCUCGCCCACGUUAUUGCGAACGGUCCGUUACUCGGUUACUCGAGCGACUCGAGAAUAGUGACGCGAGUGAUCUCUUGUAUUGUGUAUAUAUAUAUAUAUAUAUAUAUACGUAUUAUACAUGCAUAUAUAUAUAUAUAUGUAUAUAUGUACGUAUGUAUGUAUGUAUAUGUCAUCUCGUAUAAUCGAAGAGAAACUUUACAGCUUCCUCCCUUACCCUUCACGACCUGCACGCCGAUUGGGUUGCCUAUCCUUAAGGAGACUUGAAUUUCCAGCUGUACGUGCGUAUUGUAUAUGGAUGUAUGAUGCGUCUUGCGUGCGUGCAUAUAUAUAUGUUUGUUCGUUCAUGUGUAUUACGUAUGUGCAUACGCGUAGUUGAAUCUUCUCUUUCGUCGUCGUAGUCGUUAAAAGUUUAUAACGAUCAAAAACUUGCUGGAAAGGAAAAAUUUUUUACGAAAUUAUUCGAGUAAUCGUCGUUCGGAACGUACGUUGAAGGACUUUCCUUUUUUCUUCCUUUUCCUUUUUUGCCUUAACGAAGAUAAGAAAAAAUGAUAGAACAAAAAUGAUACGGCAGUAUUGAAUUGAGAGAUGAAAAAAUAAAAAGUAUUAAAAGUACGAGAUACAUUAUAAAAUUGUAAUAAUUGUUUAUAUUUAAAAGUUCGACUUCGAAUUCGACGUCAUUUAAUAAUCUAUUAAUACGAAAUGACUAGGAAGGAACACGUAAUUUGUCCUACGUAGUAUGACUCGUAUUGUUUAUAACAAUAUUUUUGUAUUUCAAUCGGUAAAGUAAACGACAAGUGAUAUUCAUGUUGGUUCUUUAAAUUGAGUAACGCUCAAUGAUUCCAUAACAUGCAGCAAGCGUAUCAAUGAAAUUUAAUCUUCAAGGAACGAUUAAAAAAAAAAAAAAAAAAAAAAAAAAAAAAAAAAGAAAGAAAAUAUCCUCGAUAGCAAAAAAUAUUUGGUUUCUCGGUUGUCAUAGGAAAGUUAUUUCGUAUCAUCUCGUAUGCUCGUGAUGACGAUGAUGAUGAUGAUGACGAUGACGAUGCUCGUUGACCCGUCAAAUUAUAUAGAUCAAAUUUCAUGUAUAUACAUAUAUACAGGGUAAUUAUAAAUUAAGAUGCCAGUUGAAUAUCUCCUUUGUUAGAAAUAAUAGAAACAAAAAAAAGAAAUAUACGUACGUAUAUAUGUAUGUAUGGCGAUUGUAUUACAUACAAGGAAAUAAUUGAAACUUUGAAAAUGAAUGGAAUUUAAACGAGCUAUUACUAUCUUCUUUUUUCUUUUCUUUUCCUUUCUUCGCUGCUUUUUUUUUUUUUUUUUUUAUUAUACAUUAAUCUUAAAGUUAUAUUAAACAUAUAAAGUCUCGUUAAUUAUUAACCAUUAGAUCUACGCCCGUUAACUUUUCUUUUGCAAGAUAAUUCAUUCGAAUAUAUAAUUUUAAUAAACGAACGAGAAAAAGAAAAUGGAUUGAGAACAAUGAAAAAACCUAAAAGUUAUUAAACUUCUUAAGUUUAAGAGGAAAUCGUAAAUAUUAUUCGACGUAAUAAUGCUUCUUAAUAUAUAUAUUAUAUAAUAUAUAUUUUAUUAUUUCUAAUAAACGAAAUAUUCACCUGGUCCUUAAUUUAUAAUCACCCUGUAUACAUAUAAACAUAUUUAUACAUAAAUACAUACAGACACGACACACGUGAAUCUCGUGUAUACGGUGACACAUUGUGUAUCGUAUCGCUAUUCGGAUGUCCCACAAAAAGUGAAAUUCGAGAGGUCUUUGAAAAUUACUUAUGGAUCAUUUAACAACAAUUUUCCAUACCGAUUAUUAUAUAUAUAUAUAUAUACAUAUAUACAUAUGCAUAUAUAUAUAUGUCGUAAGGGACGAGUGAAGAGAUGAUGAAGGGUGGGGAAAUCAUCAAACCCAUCAAAAAGACCAAUAAAGCUUAACCUAUAAUGACGUAACAUACAUAUGUAUAUAUACGUAUCAACUAUAUCGCGUAGUCACGAUCAACGAGAGAAGAAAGCCGGAAUUAGAGGAAUCGACCUGCCCUUUCGAGCGUUCAUACAUAUAUUUACUAAUAUCAGAUUAAUUCAUUAACCUUAAAUAAGAAAAAUAUCAUAGCCGUUAAUGUAACUUGAUCGUACACCAUUUCAAUGGGUUAUGUUACAGUAUUUGAUCUAAUUAAUAAUUGAUAUAUUCAUCGAAACGUUCAUUUUGAAGGUAAACAAUUUUUUCGAAAUUUGUCUAACGUUAGAACGAUAAAUAAAUAAAUGAAAAAAAAUAUAGAUAUGUACAUACAUCAUGUACAUAUGCGUAUAUAUAUAUAUAUAUAUAUAUGUGUGUGUAAAUAUAUAUCCUGUUGCGAGAAAGAAAUAUAGAACAACAAUAAUGCUUACCUAGACGAGAUGAUAUCACGACGUGAGAAUCCUGUUUGAUGACCAAUAGAAUUAACAUGACCAAUAAGAGAGAUCGAUCAUUCGAUAUUAUUACGUUGAAAGCUAAUUCCAAUAUGACGAUGAACUUGUUAAACCCUCCAUAACGCAUACGUUUCAAAUAUAAAUCGUUUAUCCAUAAGAAAUAAAUACGUCGAUCACGGUACGUGCGCGCGCCAAAAACGGUGGCGCUCUCUGUCGGCCAGAAAUAUGAUACCGAUCGGAAAUACGUAAUCGAUAAAAUGAACGAAUCAUCGUUAAGUAAUUAAAUUUAUUGUCUUGAUUUAAACUAGUAUCCGAAUGAAAUAAAUAAAUAAAUAAAUAAAUAACUAAAUAAUAUAUUAAUAA